UCUAAUUUGUUCUGAGAAUUUGAGUUUUCACUCUUCGGGGUUUUUGAGAGAGCCCUCACUGGAAUCCCGCUCCUUAAGGAGACUUCCGCAGACAAUGAGAUCGCUCUGCCUUCCAGUUCCUUCAUCUGUGAAAAUAAUCACAAGGUCCCCACCUAGCUCCACAGAGAGUUCCUGAAUGCCGUGGGAAUAGGAUGAUGUUUGGGGACUCAUCCUGGUUUCCAGGGCAAUGUCUGGGCUGGGAGGGGCCGUGAAUGUGGCCGGGAAGGGGGUGGUAGGGAGGACCUGGAGGUGAUCCAGUUUCUCAGGCGGCCUCAGCCGUGACCGCAUCAGGAGGAAGCGCCUGCACCUGAUAAAGGCUUUCAUUGCGUUUCUCCUGAUGCCACAAGCUCACUUCUCCAACCCUGGGAAUUGGGGAGCUGUUUAGAAUAGUCUGCUUAAAAGUGAGCAAGCAACCACGUGGCCCUUUAUAACCCACCUGCCGGGGCCCAGUACAACUGGCCGAGCGCUCGCCCACCCUGGCUGGGCACCUGCAGGCCCCUCUCCGGAGCCCCUCCCGCUCCCGCCGGGUCAGACGUCCCCCCCUCCCCCGCUCUGCUGCACUUGGUUCGGAAUCUAAGAUCUUCCUGGGGCACCUGCUGCAUUGGCCAAACUUGCAAGAAGCUCGAGCAGGUCCUGCCCCUCGCGUGUGCAACGGCUCCCCCGUGGCUCAACCGUCAGGCUGCAGGAAGUCAUUUCUGAGGCGGCUUUCAGGGGCAGAGUGACCACAGCCUCUGAGGUCCCUGCUGCGCUGGGGCACUGGCCAUGCCUGGAAGCGAGACCCCCUCUGCCUUUCUGAAAUGUGGCUCCAACUAACGCAAGACAUGUUCCCGCGGGUAAGCGCAGGUGCCCCGUUGCACUUCUCAGUCUUCGUUGAGCUCUGAACUGUCAAGAACACUUGAGGCUGGCUGUCCUCUGAGUUGGAUAUUAAGGAAAAUGUCACUUCCAUGACUAAGACUCGGGCAGAGGAGGCUGAAGGACCUGUUUCAUAAAACUACUUACCUACGGAUUUGAGAGUUGCCUCCUAUCCACCCACUGCCCGCCAUCUUCCUCUGGGAUUCCGGGCCACACUGCACUGCUGCCCACCCGUCUCCUGGAAAUGGUCUCCUUCCGUAGGGCUGAACCUCCCUCCUACCCUUCCACCCCUUUGCUUAUUUUGUUCUGCUAAUGCCCUUGCUAUGUGAACCUAUUUUGACUGGUUCUCAAAACUGACCUCACCCAGAUGAGCAUUGCAAUCCUACGCCCAGCCACCCUGUCCUGGCACAAUUCCCCACUCCCCCAGGGGACCUUCCACUUUGAGUCAAAAGAACAUAGGUGACUUGAGUGCACUUAAAUGUUACCCACCCAUCUUCCCAAACGAGACUAUGAACAUCUUGAGGGCAUUGUAUCUUGCCUAGCAUGUGAUUCUAAUUUUUGCUUGAUUGCCAUUUGUUGAAUAAAUAAAGGAAUGCAUCGAGCAUGCA